rnacentral:rRNA from 1 species
CGAUAGAUCUCGGUCGCUGGAAAGCCCCGAGAUCGAAAGCUCCGGCGCCAGAGGAUGGGUCUGCGGCCUAUCAGGUAGUAGUGGGUGUAGCGUACCUACUAGCCUACGACGGGUACGGGUUGUGAGAGCAAGAGCCCGGAGAUGGAUUCUGAGACACGAAUCCAGGCCCUACGGGGUGCAGCAGGCGCGAAAACUUUACAAUGCCGGCAACGGCGAUAAGGGGACCUCGAGUGCCAGGUUACAAAUCUGGCUGUCGUGAUGCCUAAAAAGCAUUGCAUAGCAAGGGCCGGGCAAGACCGGUGCCAGCCGCCGCGGUAACACCGGCGGCUCGAGUGGUAACCGUUAUUAUUGGGUCUAAAGGGUCUGUAGCCGGCCGGAUAAGUCUCUUGGGAAAUCCAGCAGCUCAACUGUUGGGCUUUCAGGAGAUACUGUCUGGCUCGAGGCCGGGAGAGGUGAGAGGUACUUCAGGGGUAGGGGUGAAAUCUUGUAAUCCUUGAAGGACUACCAGUGGCGAAGGCGUCUCACCAGAACGGACCUGACGGCAAGGGACGAAAGCUAGGGGCACGAACCGGAUUAGAUACCCGGGUAGUCCUAGCCGUAAACGAUACUCGCUAGGUGUCGGCCACGGUGCGACCGUUGUCGGUGCCGUAGGGAAGCCGUGAAGCGAGC